rnacentral:rRNA from 1 species
CCUACGGGAGGCAGCAGUGAGGAAUAUUGGUCAAUGGACGAGAGUCUGAACCAGCCAAGUAGCGUGAAGGAUGACUGCCCUAUGGGUUGUAAACUUCUUUUAUAUGGGAAUAAAAUGUUCCACGUGUGGGAUUUUGUAUGUACCAUAUGAAUACGGAUCGGCUAACUCAGUGCCAGCAGCCGCGGUAAUACGGAGGAUCCGAGCGUUAUCCGGAUUUAUUGGGUUUAAAGGGAGCGUAGGUGGAUUGUUAAGUCAGUUGUGAAAGUUUGCGGCUCAACCGUAAAAUUGCAGUUGAAACUGGCAGUCUUGAGUACAGUAGAGGUGGGCGGAAUUCGUGGUGUAGCGGUGAAAUGCUUAGAUAUCACGAAGAACUCCGAUUGCGAAGGCAGUUCACUGGACUGCAACUGACACUGAGGCUCGAAAGUGUGGGUAUCAAACAGGAUUAGAUACCCCAGUAGUC